CCUCUUAAAAAUAAAUUUUCCUACUCCAAAACAUCUUAUUUCCCCUAAUUUUAAUUAUUUCCCCUCAUUUUUGACAGCUAACAAACAUUUUUGUUUAUAAAUAAUAAACAGUGUACAGUGUCAAUUUUAUAAAUGUAAACAUAACUCGUGUUGACAUGUAUUCGAGAGGCGAGUUAUCAUAGGAUAUCUAAAGAUUUUUAGCCGGCUUUCAAGUACUCUUUGGAAAUUAAGCGAUAGUAGUCAAAAAAUUGAUCAAUUAUGUGGUACAUUCCAAUGAUAAUAAGAAAAAAAGAAGCAAAAAGUUAUAGUACAAAAAAAAUGAUUAAAGACCGAGAACAAAGUGGCAAAAAAAAUAUAGAAAAUGCUGGUAUUAAAGUAAGAAGUUUGUAUACUCUUACCAAGUUAAUGAAGUAUCUUUUUGAAGCUGUUAAAAUUACUUUAGAAACGAUUAAAUUUUACGCCCUCGCUACCUGUGGUAACAACAAGAUUUAAAAAUCAAUAGAUAGAUAUCCUAUGAUAACUCGCCUCUCGAAUACAUGUCAACACGAGUUAUGUUUACAUUUAUAAAAUUGACACUGUACACUGUUUAUUAUUUAUAAACAAAAAUGUUUGUUAGCUGUCAAAAAUGAGGGGAAAUAAUUAAAAUUAGGGGAAAUAAGAUGUUUUGGAGUAGGAAAAUUUAUUUUUAAGAGGGGGCAGGGCCGGAGGAGAAUUUAAUCAUAGAAUAUUUGAAAAAUAAUAGAUGGAAUAAUUUAUAUAAAAAAAAAACCGUCUCGGUCGGUAAUUUCUCCCAUGGUAAUGGGAAGGUAUAAAUGAACACGAGUGUACGGUAUAGGACAUGAUCAUAUAUAAUUCCUUCCCCUCCCCUAUAGAAACGGU